CAUCCGGCGGCCCCGCCCCGCGGGAACCAUUCACCAGCCCCGCGCCAUGACACCUACUGAGGCGGAAGUGUCGAGGAGCGGGCGGAUUAGGACGACCGCAUAGUGCAGAUGGGAGUGGGAGUGGGGGGGCCUCCGUGGGGAGCCAGCGUGGAUCGAGUGCGGGGGCCGGAUUCCCCGCCCCCUCCGCGCGACAGACUCCGCGGCGAUUUAAAGAGACUUUCUGGCAGAGUGGCAUCCGUGUACGGGAUCUGGAAGCCUCCACGUACAUGAGGAGCCCCUUAGGAGACUCUCCCGCUGCCCGCCGUAGGAACCUGUGUUUGCAUUAGGAGAAGACAGGACCUUCACAGAAGCAAUUCUUUCGUUCCUGCCUCUCUUCUUUGCUGAGACAAAGGAAUGAAGACACCAGGCUUGGAGCUGCCAUAGCCAUCUUGUGACCAUAAAUGUGACAGCAAACAAAGAUGAAGACAGUCAACAUGCUGAGGACAGCAAAGGAGACGAUGGAAAGAAGGGGUCCUUGACGACAGAGACAGAGAGAGGCAGAGGGAGAAGCAGGCUCCCAAGGAGCAGAGAGCCCGAUGUGGGACUCGAUCCCAGGACCCUGGGAUCAUGACCUGAGCCGAAGGCAGACGCUCAACCAUCUGAGCCACCCAGGCGCCCGCUUCUGGACUUUUUAAGUAAAUAAAUGUUCGUAUGUUUCAAGAACACCGUGAGACAAGUUUUCUGUUCUUUGCUGCCAAAAAUCAUUCUUAAGUGACACAGGAGAGAAGUAGGAGAGCUUUUCUAGAAAAAGGAGCUAAUUGGUGGUAUCCAAAUGUUCUGAGAGUAAAGGAGAAUAAGGAUGGAAAAGAGGCCAGUGGAUUUGCAAUGAGAAGGUCCCUGUUGAUCUUGGUAAGAGCAAUUUAAGUGGCAUGGUGCAAUGUGAUGGGGCAGAAGCAAUGUGAUUCCUACAAAGGACUUUUCCUAGUAUGAGUGGUGACCGACAAACUGGGAAGGAUGGUUUGAUCCAACUGGGUGAUAGAAUCUAUUCUGGUCAAUUCCCAUAUUCAGUUCCUAAUAUCCAAGGAAGCUGCUUGGGUUCCUGCUGUCCACUUCAGCAACAUCUGGGAAAUCAUGAACUGAAUCACUUUGCUCUCUUAACACUUCCCACAGGAAUAAGCCAGGAAAAGUUGUUCUGGACCCUUAACUGGUUUCAUAGAGGGCAAAUCCAGCAUGUAUGAUGGGGACUAAAUAGGACUUUUUAAAAAACGUUUUCUUCCAGGAUUUAUUGACUGAAUAAUAAGUACCAGGCAUUCAGUUAGACAGAAUAAAAAAUGAAUAAAGCACAUUCUGUGUCCUCAGGGGCUUCACGAUCUAAUUAAGGAAAUAAAUUAGGAACAGUUAUAACAAGUCCGAGAUUGGUCCUCAAAGUGGCAUUAUAAGUGCUCAAGAAUAUAGCAGUUAACUGUCUGGAGAUCACUUGCAGAAGCAUCUAGAGGUAUUACUAUUGACUGAACAGGGACUUAAAGAAGACAGCACUAUUUCAGCCAGGCCAUCAGUGAGAUGUUAUUUGUUUUUAGUAACUAUCUUUAAGUACCUUUUCCAUGCAACAUGUGAACAGAAUAAAUAUGCUGUUACAUUAUCAUAUACAAUGGACACGAGCUCUUCAUUAUGACAAGUACUCCUUGGGAAGGAGUUAUCGGUCUGCACUAGGCCACCAGAGAGCCAUGGGGUUAGAAACUAAAACCAGGCAGAGAUGAGUGUGGUAUACAGAGCAGAGAAGUGAAGCACCCACCUGUGUUAGGAUAAUCAGGUAAGUGAGUCCCUCCUCUGUGUGGUAAAAAGGUUUGGUCCCCUAAUGGCUCCCACACUUCUUAUCCUCCCCAGCAUCUCCCCACUAAAGCUGGGGUGGUUGCUGGGCUGAAUAGUGGGAUUGCAAGUAGGAAAUGGCUUCCCUGCUCUCAAGUGUAAGUCUUGCUGGUCUUGUUUUCUUUUUGUAUCAAAAUAGGACAUUUUGGGGACUGGGUCCCAGCAGAAAUGAUGGCUUUGGGUGGAAGGGGUGUUUGGAAAGAGGCCAUGGCUGUGGGAUUAAAGAGAAAGAGUCAAAUACAACUAGUUAACAUUAUGAAUGCAUGAAAUGCCACUGAAUUGUACACUUUAAAAUGGUUAAGUGGUGGGGCGCCUGGGUGGCUCAGUCAUUAACCGUCUGCCUUCAGCUUAGGUCAUGAUCCCGAGGUCCUGGGAUCGAGCUCCACAUUUGGGCUCUCUGCCCUGCGGGAAGCCUGCUUUUCCCUCCCCCCGCCCCCCCCCGGCUUGUGUUCCCUCUCUUGCUGUCUCUCUCUCUGUCAAAUAAAUUAAAAAAUGGUUAAUUGUGUGUUAUGUGAAUUUCACUUCAAAAAAAGGGGAGGGGAAGGGGGUUUGCAGGAUUUAGAGAUAAUGAGCAAGAGACUUGAUCCCUAACUUUCCUAAUUUUCAAGAGUCAAUCCAGAGCCUUCUGGGAGAAGAGCAAUGCCUUAAAUACUUCUACAACCAUGUUUAUUCCUCCUCAGACCCUCCUUCCCCCUAAUCAUUUCUGUUUCCUUCCUUAUCUACACAUGACCAUCUUUCUCUCACUUUCUCCAUAUACCAACUCUUUAUUCAUCAAAACCAAGGGAUAGUGCUUUUCUCUCCCUUUCCCUGGAUCAUUGUCAUGUCUCAUUAUCAUGUCUCCACCAUUCUGUAGCUUCUCACCUUCGACCAACUGUUACACAAGCUUUUAGCACCUGCCCUCCAUAUGUCUCUCCCUAUUCCCAAUUCUAAGCAAAAGCCAAAGCCAAAACAAAUGCUCUGGGAAGGGACACAGAGACCCACAAGGACUAUGAUUCAGGACAGAAAAUCGAAAUUCAAUCAUUGACUAUUAUUUGUGCUAAGUCAUUUUGCACUUCCUGCAGACUCAGAAAUCAAAAAGGCCCUAAUGAAGUAUACCUUGCCUAACACAAUUCCUGAUAUGUGGUCAGUACCAAUAACUAUUUGGCUGACUAAAUUACUAAAUUAUCUGAUUGUUUAUUCAUGGUGCUCAAAGCAUCAGAAUUCAGUUAACUAUAGAAUAGAGUUUUGGAAAUCUCAACAAUCGUCAUCUUUGGCUGUGAAUUUAACUUAAUUUUUUAUUAUUACUUUUGGAAACUCACUUUUAUAAAAUCUGUAAGCUGUCAUCAAGGGGUUAGCAAGUGGCCCUCUCCUUUGGAGGUGGGUAGGAGGGGGGGCCUUAAUCAAAACCCUAGAGGGUAAAUUCUCUGAGGUGAAAUAGGUUUCUGUCUGACCAACCUCCAUGCUCCCAUAAUGUCCGGUACAGAAGUAAAACAUGAGCUUUGGAGGCUUUUUUUUUUUUUUUAAGAUUUUAUUUACUUAUUUGACAGAGAGAGACACAACUAGAGAGGGAACACAAGCAGGGGGAGUGGGAGACGGAGAAGCAGGCUUCCUGCAGAGCAGGGAGCCCCAUGUGGGGAUCAAUCCCAGGACCCCGGGACCACCACCUGAGCCGAAGGCAGAUGCUUAAUGACUGAGCUUUGGAGUCUUGACAUCAGUAGGAAUCCUGAGUUUUCUAGUAACUAGGGUGAUAGUAGGCAUGCUUAUGAACUUCACCUUCCUCAUUCUUCUUUUUUUAAAAAAAGAUUUUAUUUAUUUAUUUAUUUAUUUGAGUAGGGAGUGGCAGAGGGGCAGAGGGAGAGAGACAAGCAGACUCCCUGCUGAGCGCAGAGCUUGAUCUCAAGACCCUGAGAUCAUGACAUGAGCCAAAAUCUAGAAUGGGAUGCUUAAUCCACUAUACCUCCCAGGCGCCCCACACCUUCCUCAUUCUUAAAAUGGAGAUGAUAGGGCGCUUGGGUGGCUCAGUUGGUUAAGCGACUGCCUUUGGCUCAGGUCAUGAUCUUGGAGUGCCAGGAUCAAGUCUGGCAUCACAUCGGGCUCCCUGCUCAGCAGGGAGUCUGCUUCUCCCUCUGACCCUCCCCACUCUCAUGUGCUCUCUUGCUCUCUCUCAAAUAAAUAAAUAAUAAAUAAAUAAAAUAAAAUGGAGAUGAUAAUACCUUCUUACCUCCCUCAUUCCAUCCAUCAGAAAAAGUCCUCAAUGUUACUUCCAAAAAAUAUCCUGAAUCCACUACUGUUCAUCUCCACUGAUACAGACUUUCUGAUUUCACAGACAGAAGUGAGAUAGAGACUAAUAAUAAAUAUG